AGCCCAUGGUGGUGAAUUAUAUUACAAACUUAAAGAGUUAGAUGCGUUUGAUUAUCCUGAUUCACCAAUUGUAACCCCUGUGAAAGGGUCACUCGACCCCCAAAGGGUUGUGAGCCACAGGUUGAGAACUGCUACACUAGAGGUAAGAGAGUCAUGAAAUGCACUCUUCCCCUGAACCUCCAAGAAGGACCCAACCCUGUGAACAACUUGUUUUCCAACUCUUGCUCUGAAGUCAAGAGAGAAUCCAUUUCUUUUUUUCAAAGAUUUUUAUUUUUUUUUAAAUGUGUAUGGGUGUUUUGCCUGCAUGUAUGUCUGUGCACAUUUGUGCAGUACCCAAGGAGGCCAGAUGAUAGCUUUGGAUCCCCUAGAAUUGAAGUUACAUACUGUUGUGAGCCACCAUGUGGGUGCUGGGACCAAAACCUGGGUCCUCUAAAAGAUAAAUCAUUGCUUGUAACAGCUGGGCCAUCUCUCCAGCCCAGAACCCACUUUUCUUUUUUUAAUGCCAUGGCAGCUCUAGAAGAUAAUAUACUUUUCUUUUUCAUUUUUAGAUUUAUUCUUUUUAUUUGAAGCAUAUGAGUGUUUUGCAUGCAUGUAUAUUAGAUGCCCUGGAACUGGAAUUACAGACGGUUGUGAGCUACCAGGUAGGUGCUGGGAAUCAAACUCAGGUCCUCUAUAAGAAUGGUAUACACUCAUAACUGCUGAGCCAUCUCCCCAGCUCUUCUUUGCUUUUUUCAAGAAUUUCCAAAUUGAUCUGACACAGAAACCCUUUUUCAAAUAAUACCUAUGCAAGAAGCACAAUUGGGGAGAGUCCAGAAAUUUGGUAAGACACUAGUAGUCUCCCUAACUUAAAAGGAAAUCUGGAAAGACACUAGUGGUCUCCCUAACUUACAAAGGAAUUUUAGGCUACAUCUUUCUCCAUUUUGCCACCGUAAUCACCUGGAACUGGAUCUGACUAAAUUGACAUUUACUUACCUGAGGAAAAUACCUAAAAUAUCUGUUUCUAUCUCACCUGUUGUUUUUUUGUUUUGUUUUGUUUUGUUUUACUAUUUUCAAUUUUAUUUAUUACGGGGAGGGAUGCUGCAGCCACAGCAUAUAUGUGGAGGUCAGAAGAGAAUUUCCAGGAGUUGGUUCUUCCCUUCCACAGUGGCUUCCAGAGAUCAAAAUCAUGUCACUAGGCUUGCUCGGUAAGUGCUUUUACUGCUGAACCAUGUUAGCAGCCCUCACCUAUCUUUUAACACCAAGAAACUAAACAGAAAAAGGCUAAAAUUAGGGAUGAAAGUCAACAGCAGCAUCAAGGCAUAGUUAGGAAGAGUAUUAGUCACCACCCAUAGUCCUCAUAAUCUCCCCCAAAUAAGUGUACUCAAUUUAAGACAAGCUCUCUAGCUCCACCCCCAGCCCCCAGAUUGGCAUUCCUAGACCCUUCCUCUCCUUUACUCAUUAGCCACCACUGGGCAAACUGGUGUCCUAGUGUCUUUACUGCAAAAUGAAUUGCAUGCACCCUGCCAUGGUAAUUAAUACCAUAUUGCAAAACAUUCUUCAAGAUUUAUUUUUUAUUUAUGUGUAUAUGUGCGUGCAUGUGUAUGCAACACGUGUGAGGAUAUCCGAUGUGGCCAGAAGAAGUUGCUGGAGUUACAGGGGGUUGUGAGCCUCCCGACUUGGGUGCUGACAACUGUACUCUUGUCUUCUGGAAGAGCAGCAAGCACCCUUAACCGUGGAGCCAUCUCCCCAGUCCCUGCAAAACAGUCUGAGUCACCUAAUCUGGCUUGAGUUUCAGCUACCAGCCCUUCCUUGUGGUGGUUCCAGUUGUAGUUUUUCUUUUUUUUCUUGAGUUCAUCUCUAUGGGUCUCAUUUCUAGAGUUUCCUGUGCCCUGAGGUGGGACAGUGUUCCCAAAGAGAAUCUGCUUUUCCUCAGGCCCUAGGGAUUCAAGAGUCAUUUGAAUUCAUUCUCUGUUUGGGACCAAUGUCCUAAUCUGGUCAUUAAAACUAGACCCCAAAACCAUAUGUCUCACAGGGGUUUUCUUUUUCACAUGCAUAUACUUAGCCCCCAGACUUUUAUGCCAACUGUAUCAUAGGCCCUUUCAUCAGUGUGUAUCACAGGCAUUUUAAAAUCAGUUUGCCCAAUAUUUGUUGCAAAAUACUUGUUUAACUAUGUAAAGAUGGGUUGCAUUUGUUUAAUUAUGUAAAGCUGUGUUGCUGUCUUACCUUGCCUGCCUAAGGCACCUGAUUGGUCUAGUAAAAAGCUGAAUGACCAAUAGCAAGGGAGGAGAGAUAGGCAAACAUUCCAGGCAGGAAGAAUAAAUACGAGGAGGAAUUUAGGCUCGGGAGAAAAGAAAGGAGAAAGAAAAACAGACACCAGGGACAGACAGACAGACAGACACAGAGGAAGCAGGAAAGUAGGACAUACAAAAUGAAAGAAAGGUUAAAAGCCCAGAGGCCAAACAUAGAUGAACAGAAACAGGUUAAAUUAAGUUAAAAGAGCUAGUGGGACAAGCCUAAGCUAAGGCCUGGCAUUCAUAAUUAAUAAUAAGUCUCCAAGUCUCUGGAAGCUGGUUGGUGGCCCAAAGAAAAGUUCAACUACAGAUGUUGAACUUCUCCUGGAAAACUUGUGUUACACAUGAAUUUCUUAUUUCAGGAAAUAGUACCAGAUUGAUGUUUGUGGGUAUGUAGGAAGCUUACUCAGCAAUGGGUAAAUAGGGGUUGAGAUUUAGCUUACAAACAGUUCACUUGUAUAUCCCCCAGCUGUGCCCAAUGAGAAGGAGGUGUGUUUUGUUUCCUAAUUAUACAGUGAUGCACUCUGGGUUACACACGGUCCUAUCUCCCUCCCUGUGACCACUUUUCCUCCCCUCACCCACAACUAAAUCAUCCCAAAGGCUCCCUUAGGCCCUCCAUCUCCUAUGUCCUCUCUCUUAUGGUCACAUUAAGCUGCUGAAUCUGGAUAAUAUGAACACAGAAUUCUGAGUUCUAUUUGAAAUUCUAUUAAAGAAGAACUCAUUUUAAUGCAGUUAUGCUUUGACCAUCCAUUCUGGCCUCAUUUUCUAGCAGAAGUCUCUGUUUUUACUCCAGUCUCUCACAGAGUUUACAGGGAGGAGCCUCGGCAUACAGAAACUCAAGGCAGCAGUAGUCUUCCAGAUACUUAGUGUGAGAUCAGACCAUCACUCUGCAUUGGAAGGACACCAGCCAUCUCUCUGACUUCCCUGUCCUUUUCCAAAUCCACUGGGAAGCUGGCCCAUCAGGUCACUAAAAAGUGCACCACCCAUGUCUGGCAUAUUCCUCAGUCAAGGUGUAGGUGUGUUCAUGUGUUCAGAUAUAUUGUCUGGAUUGUCCAACAAAGCAAGAAGAGUCUGAAGAGCUGCUGCAUGGCAUUAGGAGCAAAACUCUAAAAUACUUUGCCAUGUCAAGUUCUAUAAACAGUCCAACCAAACUAAUCCUUCACACCAAAAACUUGGAAAGUACUGGGGGAUGCUAUAGAAUGUCCAUAAAUCUUUUAUGGAGUUGUGGAGUUUAAUGUUGCUAUAGUUUGGAUAUGGCUUGGUCCCUAUAGUGAUUGGCCAUAUUGUGGUGAUAGAUUUAGAAGAUUGUCUGUUUCUGAGGAUGUUUCCAGAGACAUUUAACAGAGGAGAGAAACCCACCCUGCAUGUGAGCAAUAUCAUCCCAUGGGCUAGAGUCAUAGGUAAAAUAAAAAUGAGAAAUCCAGCUGAG